GGCGUGUAUGGUGCAUGGUGCUCUUGGCCCUCCAUCUGCCCUUUUCCACCUAUGAGCUCUCUCAUCACUGGGGCCAAUCCUGGGACACAGACGAGUAAAUACCCCCACGUAACAGGACAGAACACCCCCUUCCCAGACCUUCUAAUAGAAUCUGGACUUGGGGACACCUGGAUGGCUCAGUCAGGAUCUUCGGGGCAGCCAUCUUGGACACUGCAUCGACUGGCAAGCAGAGACAGAAGAUGAAACAGGCACACAGGGAAAAAGCAGAGGACCUUCUCAGCUUCUUCAGAAAUAAGAAACCAGAAUUUUUCAGUCCUCAAGGGCUUCAACUCUCUCCGAGAAUGUCUGCUGAAGAAAACAUCUAGUCCAGCCUCCAGCAGAGGACAGAAACCCUCUGCCAACUCCCAGCGAUGCUCAAAUCUCCAGCUAUGAAAUGAGAGGUGGGGGCCAAGGGGCUUGGAAAGCACAUGGGCAGGGAACGAUCUGGGUUCAAGUCCUGAUUCUGCCACAUAUUCCUGGUGGUCCCUAAAU